rnacentral:lncRNA from 1 species
CUGGAUGUAUAGCGAAGUGGACUGUUUUGGUUGGGGCGCGUGAUCUGAAGUUCGCUCCACUUUCAUUUUAUCUGCUAUUGAACGCAGUUUAUCCCGUCUUAAAUUUUAUCGAUUAUUUACGUUUUAAAAUACCUAAAGUUGGAUUAGGAAAGUUAUUUGAAAUGUUUGGAUAAAGUUUACAGGUAACUUAUUAGAUAUUUUGUAGUCAUGCUGGACGAGUUGGAACCGGUGUUUUUCUGAAUCAAAGGCGCCAAAUAAAUGGAUAUUUUGGAGAUAUAACGACGGAAUUAAUUGAACAAAAGGACCAUUUGUGAUGUUUAUGGGACAUAUUGGAGUGCCAACAGAGAAGCUCUUCAAAGGACCUGAGCCCUGGGACCAUGCCUCAGGACUACCUGGCAUGAUGACUCCUUGCUGUCCCCAGUCCACCUGGUCGUGCUGCUGCUCCAGUUUCAACUGUUCUGCCAGCGGCUAUGGAACCCUGACCUGUUCACCGGACGGGCUACCUGUCACAGACCUGCUGUUUUCAACUCUCUAGAGACAGCAGGAGCGGUAGAGAUACUCUCAAUGAUCAGCUAUGAAAAGCCAACUGACAUUUACUCUUGAGGUGCUGACUUGUUGCACCCUCGACAACUACUGUGAUUAUUAUUAUUUGACCAUGCUGGUCAUUUAUGAACAUCUUGGCCAUGUUCUGUUAUAAUCUCCACACGGCACAGCCAGAAGAGGACUGGCCACCCCUCAUAGCCUGGUUCCUCUCUAGGUUUCAUCCUAGGAUUUGGCCUUUCUAGGGAGUUUUUCCUAGCCACCGUGCUUCUACACCUGCAUUGCUUGCUGUUUGGGGUUUUAGGCUGGGUUUCUGUACAGCACUUUGAGAUAUCAGCUGAUGUAAGAAGGGCUAUAUAAAUACAUUUGAUUUGAUUUGAAUAGGGUUUAGAUGACUGUGCUGGCCUCUCCAUUAUAGACAGAAUACCAGCUGACUGCUUCUUCCCUAAAUAGGUCUUGCAUAGUUUGGAGCUGUGCUUUGGGUCAUUGUCCUGACAGAUGCGUCAAGCACUCCCCCAGCAUCUUUUCAUUUUUUUCUGCGUCUCACAGAUGGUCUUCUUUGUGAUCCGAACACCUCAAACUUAGAUUCGUCUGUCCAUAACACUUUUUUCCAUUCUUCCUCUGUCCAGUGUGUGUUAUUUUGCUCAUCUUAAUCUUUUCUUUUUAUUGGCCAGUCUGAGAUAUGGCUUUUUCUUUGCAACUCUGCCUAGAAGGCCAGCAUCCCGGAGUCGCCUCUUCACUGUUGACGUUGAGACUGGUGUUUUACGGGUACUAUAAUGAAGCUGCCAGUUGAGGACUUGUGAGGCGUCUGUUUCUCAAACUAGACACUAUAAUGUACUUGUCCUCUUGCUCAGUUGUGCGCCGGAGCCUCCCACUCCUCUUUCUAUUCUGGUUAGAGCCAGUUUGCGCUGUUCUGAGA